rnacentral:piRNA from 1 species
UGGGACAUAGUUCCUCCAAGGAAGCUCAUC